GAUUUUACAGAAACAUAUAACGGACAUACCAUGCAUUAUAGAUACCAGCAGGCUCUGUCUGGUAAACCCGUGGAGUGUUAUCACCAACGUCGAAUCCAGCAAUAAGGGUAGAAACACCAAAAGGUCGUACACCACCAGAUUGAGUGUAUUUUUGCUGAACACCAGCGACAUAGCGAGUUAAAUACUCAAUAGAAACAGGAUCUGCCAAAUUCAAUUUAUGGUUUUGUGCUUCAACACGAGCUUUAUCAAUUAAAAUUCUAGCGUCGGCAUUUAACCCUGCAAAUGCUAGACAAACAUGGUUAUCAACCAUAGCAAUUUUUUGGAAAUUAGAAACGUUUUGAAGUUUAGGAACAUUCUUUCGUUCAACACCUAUUACAAUACACUCAUUUCCUCGAAGAGCAAUCUGUUAAUGAUAUAUGUAAGCAAUUUAUUCCAUCCAAUUCUACUCUGGUUUACAACGUACUGCAGUGGUACCACGGCGGACUGCUUCUUGUCCGUAUUCUACUUGAAGCAAGCGUCCAUCUGGUGAAAAAACGGAUAAUGCACGAUCAUAUCCCGACAUGGUGAAUUCUUGGUAAUCUGUAGGUUUCGCUUUGCUGAUUUCGAACUAGUAAGCAAUUAGCGUCGUGGUUAAUGCUGUUUAGUGCGUUGCGGUGAAGUUCGUAUGUGGUUUAUGAUGAAUAGUGGGUA